rnacentral:rRNA from 1 species
UACGUAGGUGGCAAGCGUUGUCCGGAAUUAUUGGGCGUAAAGCGCGCGCAGGCGGUCCUUUAAGCCUGAUGUGAAAGCCCACGGCUCAACCGUGGAGGGUCAUUGGAAACUGGGGGACUUGAGUACAGAAGAGAAGAGUGGAAUUCCUGGUGUAGCGGUGAAAUGCGUAGAUAUCAGGAGGAACACCGGUGGCGAAGGCGGCUCUCUGGAACGCAACUGACGCUGAGACGCGAAAGCGUGGGGAGCAAACAGG